rnacentral:rRNA from 1 species
CACGCCGGGUAAUACGAAGGGGGCUAGCGUUGUUCGGAAUUACUGGGCGUAAAGCGCACGUAGGCGGAUAUUUAAGUCAGGGGUGAAAUCCCGCAGCUCAACUGCGGAACUGCCUUUGAUACUGGGUAUCUUGAGUAUGGAAGGGGUUAGUGGAAUUGCGAGUGUAGAGGUGAAAUUCGUAGAUAUUCGCAGGAACACCAGUGGCGAAGGCGGCUAACUGGUCCAUAACUGACGCUGAGGAGCGAAUGCGUGGGGAGCGAACAGGAUUAGAGACCCCUGUAGUCCCUGUCUCUUAUACACA